AGAUUGAACGCUGGCGGCAUGCUUUACACAUGCAAGUCGAACGGCAGCACGGGGGCAACCCUGGUGGCGAGUGGCGAACGGGUGAGUAAUAUAUCGGAACGUACCCGGAAAUGGGGGAUAACGUAGCGAAAGUUACGCUAAUACCGCAUAUGCCCUGAGGGGAAGGCGGGGACGUCGUAAGAGCCUCGCGUUUCGGAGCGGCCGAUAUCGGAUUAGCUAGUAGGUGAGGUAAAGGCUCACCUAGGCGACGAUCCGUAGCUGGUCUGAGAGGACGACCAGCCACACUGGAACUGAGACACGGUCCAGACUCCUACGGGAGGCAGCAGUGGGAAUUUGGACAAUGGGCGCAAGCCUGAUCCAGCCAUGCCGCGUGAGUGAAGAAGGCCUUGGUUGUAAGCUCUUCGAGACCGAAAGAAACGACGACGGUUAAUACCCUGUACGUAGGAGUACGACGGUACCGGAAGAAGAAGACGACGGCAACUACGU
rnacentral:rRNA from 1 species